rnacentral:rRNA from 1 species
UGCCAGCUGCCGCGGUUAAACGAAGAGUACAAAUUAAGUAGAAGAUUAAAAUUAAUUAAUAGUAAAUUUUUUUAUACUUUUGACUAAAAAUUAUUUAGGUAAAAUUUAUCUUUUUUUUUAUUAAAGUUCUUUUAAAUUUUAAAGAUUUAAAAAAUUCAACUUAAAGGACCAGGAUUAGAUACCCUGUUACUUUGAAUAAUAUUUAUGUCAGGGUAGUACAAGAAGUGCUUCAAACCCACAGACCUUGGCGGUGUCUUAUCUAAGCAGAGGAGCUUGUCUCAUAAUCGAUAAUCCCCGUUUAAUCUUACCUUUUUUUGUAAAGCUUGUGUACUCCGUUGUCAGGUUGCUUCUUAAGAGUGCGACCUAAAAAAACAAUUUUUGCACUUCAGGUCAAUGUGCAGCUUAUGAAAAGGAGAGGAUGAGCUACAAUAAAUUUUAUUUAAAACGGAAAAGAAUUGAAAAAUUCUUCAAAGGUGGAAUUUGCCAGUAAAAAUUUAAAAGAAAUGAAUUU